rnacentral:tRNA from 1 species
GCGCCCGUAGCUCAAUUGGAUAGAGUGUCUGGCUACGGACCAGAAGGUUGCAGGUUCGAUUCCUGCCGGGCGCA